AACGAACGCUGGCGGCAUGCCUAACACAUGCAAGUCGAACGAGAAAGUUCCUUCGGGGGCGAGUAGAGUGGCGCACGGGUGAGUAACACGUAGGUGACCUGCCUAUUUGUGGGGGAUAACAUCGGGAAACCGGUGCUAAUACCGCAUAAGCUCAACGACUUUGGAAGGAGUUGAGGAAAGAUGGCCAAUCCUUGGAAGCUAUCGCAGAUAGAGGGGCCUGCGGGCCAUUAGUUUGAUGGUGGGGUAACGGCCUACCAUGGCGAUGAUGGCUAGCUGGUCUGAGAGGAUGAUCAGCCACACUGGCACUGAGACACGGGCCAG
rnacentral:rRNA from 1 species